UGCAAGUCGAACGAAGUAGCAAUACUUAGUGGCAGACGGGUGAGUAACAUGUAGGUAUCUGCCCUUUGGCCUGGAAUAACACGAGGAAACUUGUGCUAAUACCGGAUAAGUCUUUACGGAGAAAGCUUUAUGCACCAUUGGAUGAGCCUGCACUAGAUUAGUUUGUUGGUGGGGUAAUGGCCUACCAAGACUGUGAUCUAUAGCUGAUUUGAGAGGAUGAUCAGCCACAUUGGGACUGAGACACGGCCCAAACUCCUACGGGAGGCAGCAGUGGGGAAUCUUGCACAAUGGAGGAAACUCUGAUGCAGCGAUGCCGCGUGAGUGAAGAAGGCCUUUGGGUUGUAAAGCUCUUUCGUCGGGGAAGAAAAUGACUGUACCCGAAUAAGAAGGUCCGGCUAACUUCGUGCCAGCAGCCGCGGUAAUACGAAGGGACCUAGCGUAGUUCGGAAUUACUGGGCUUAAAGAGUUCGUAGGUGGUUGAAAAAGCUGGUGGUGAAAUCCCAGAGCUUAACUCUGGAACUGCCAUCAAAACUUUUCAGCUAGAGUAUGAUAGAGGAAAGCAGAAUUUCUAGUGUAGAGGUGAAAUUCGUAGAUAUUAGAAAGAAUACCAAUUGCGAAGGCAGCUUUCUGGAUCAUUACUGACACUGAGGAACGAAAGCAUGGGUAGCGAAGAGGAUUAGAUACCCUCGUAGUCCAUGCCGUAAACGAUGUGUGUUAGACGUUGGAAAUUUAUUUUCAGUGUCGCAGCGAAAGCGAUAAACACACCGCCUGGGGAGUACGACCGCAAGGUUAAAACUCAAAUGAAUUGACGGGGACCCGCACAAGUAGUGGAGCAUGUGGUUUAAUUCGAAGAUACGCGCAGAACCUUACCAACACUUGACAUGUUCG
rnacentral:rRNA from 1 species